GAUGAACGCUGGCGGCGUGCCUAAUACAUGCAAGUCGAGCGGACAGACGAGGAGCUUGAUCCUCUGACGUUAGCGGCGGACGUGUGUGUAACACGUGGAUAACCUACCUAUCAGACUGGGAUAACUUCGGGAAACCGGUUCUAAUUCCAUAUCAUAUAUUGAAGCGCAUUGUUCAAUAUUGAACCGCAGUUUUUCUGUCACUUAUAUAUGGAUCCGCGCCUCAUUAGCUAGUUGGUAAGGUAACGGUUUAGCAAUGCAACGAUGCGUAGCAGACCUGAGAGGGUGAUCAGGCACACCGGAACUGAGACACGGACAAGACCCAGACGGGAGGCAGAAGUAGGGGAAGGGAAGAUAGGAGAAUAGGUGUGAGGGAGAAACGGCGCGGCAGUGAGGAAGAUCAACGGAUCGUAAAACGUUGUCAGUAGUGAAGAAUAAAUAUGAAAGUAGCGAGGCACGAAUUGAAGGUACCAAAUGAGUAAGCCACGGCUAACUACGUG
rnacentral:rRNA from 1 species